CAAGGCGACGAUGGUUAGCUGGUCUGAGAGGAUGAUCAGCCACACUGGAACUGAGACACGGUCCAGACUCCUACGGGAGGCAGCAGUGAGGAAUCUUGCGCAAUGGGGGAAACCCUGACGCAGCAACGCCGCGUGAGUGAGGAAGGUCUUCGGAUCGUAAAGCUCUGUCAGUUGGAAAGAAAUGUCUGAGAGUCAAUCCCUUUCAGGCUUGACGGUACCAACAGAGGAAGCACCGGCUAACUCCGUGCCAGCAGCCGCGGUAAUACGGGGGGUGCAAGCGUUGUUCGGAAUUAUUGGGCGUAAAGAGCGUGUAGGCGGCCGGAUAUGUCAGAUGUGAAAGCCCCGGGCUUAACCCGGGAAGUGCAUUUGAAACUGUCCGGCUCGAGUAGGGGAGAGGGAAGUGGAAUUCCUGGUGUAGAGGUGAAAUUCGUAGAUAUCAGGAGGAACACCGGUGGCGAAGGCGACUUCCUGGCCCUAUACUGACGCUGAGACGCGAGAGCGUGGGUAGCAAACAGGAUUAGAUACCCUGGUAGUCCACGCCGUAAACGAUGUUCACUAGGUGUUGGGGGUAUUGACCCCCUCAGUGCCGGAGCUAACGCA
rnacentral:rRNA from 1 species